UGCCAGCAGCCGCGGUAAUACGGAGGUUCCAAGCGUUGUUCGGAAUUACUGGGCGUAAAGGGAGCGCAGGCGGAUAGGUCAGUUCAAAGUGGAAUCCCAGGGCUCAACCCUGGAAGUGCUUUGGAUACUGCCUGUCUUGAGUUCGUGAGAGGAAAGUGGAAUUCAGGGUGUAGCGGUGAAAUCCGUAGAUAUUCGGAGGAACACCAGUGGCGAAGGCGGCUUUCUGGACCGAUACUGACGCUGAGACGCGAAAGCGUGGGGAGCAAACAGGAUUAGAUA
rnacentral:rRNA from 1 species